GGCAGUGUGGUGCAGUGGUUAGCGUGCUGGACUAGGACCUGGGAGACCAGGGUUCAAAUCCCCCUACUCAGCCA